rnacentral:snoRNA from 1 species
UUGCCUGGAAAUGAUGAGAAAUGAUGUUGGUAGGGACAUCUGAGAACUAAUGAUGAGCAAUCAACAUCCCUGAACCAGGCAU